GGACUGCUCCACUGAGAGAACUUAGCAGCACUCUGUAUUUUACUGCAGGGAUCAGUUGGCUCGACUGAGAGAGAAAAGCAUCACCCAGGAAUAAGAGAGUGCUGAGUGCUGGAAGCUGUAAUUGAAGUCUCUGGGAACUGUGCUUUGAACAUAUAUUGAGCUAUAAAAACACUAAGGGUGCUGUGAAUUUGAAUCCACAUGUGUCUAUUAAGUAUUCAAAACGUUCUGCUGAAAGCACGGCUGAAACACCCAAGAGCGAAUCAAUAAAUUUGUAUUCAGCAUACUCUUUGGAUGAUACGAGGGGGCCAGAAUUGUGGUUAUGUGGGCAAUUUUAGCUUUGGCAUUUCCUGAGCAAGAAAAAUAACAUUGCUACUGAGGGAUGGUGUACAGUGAAUUCUGACACUCAACACUGUGCAGGAGAGGGGGUGGAAGGUUUUGUCAAUCGAUGCCAUGGCUGUUUGCUGGUAGCAGAAAAUCUUGAAACUCAAGGACCUGAGGUUCUUUUCCAGACAUCUUCCUGUCACCUGAGAAAUGUUUAUUGAAUUUAUACAUGCUGCAGGUUUUCAAAACCAGAAGAAUUUGGAUAAAUUUGUCAAAGCAGAGAGAAAGAUGCAGAAGAUAUCCCUCUAAAAACAAUAACAGUAGCAUUGGCUCCACAAAGAAUUCCAUGACCCAACCAAAACUGGGAUCUGCAGAGGUACCUGGGCUUUGGCUCUGGCUCUCCUGAGGGAUUUUUGUGGUCUGCAACACCCCUUCAUGUUACUUUGUUUUCCAAAUGCUUCAAGAGAAGGAGUCACAGACAUCAGAAAAUGGUCAUAUUUUAAGAAAUCCUUCAGCUUUGGCGUAUUGCAUUUUUAAUGGCUUCAUUAGCACCCAGCAAGAGUAAAUAUAUUUGCAAACCUAUGAGCUGACAUUUCCACACAGACCUCAAAACCUUUUUAGCUGUAAAGACAAUAAUUUAAACUGUCUCAUGGAAUAAGAGGCCACACAAAUUCAGAGCUUUAGUACUUUAGUAUGUGUCAACUGGCUACACUUUAGGAAUAAUUAAGCUGGCUUUAAGCAGCAUCUACCCCUAAGAUCAGAUAGUUUCUGGAUGGAAGUGGACUGCAAUACUUUUAUUUAUUUUUAAAUACAUACACCCUCCAGGAUUUAGGAAAUGCCACAAGCUAACAUUUAUUUUAUGCCCAUUCAUAAUCUUCCAGUCAUAAAAAUUAAUAAUAAUUGCAAGCAAACUUGUGCAUACAGCUGCUUGCAUUACAUAGACACAAGUAUAUAUGUUGUACAAACAAAAAAUAUUAGACAGGCAUUUUUCACUCUAAGAGACAACCUAGCAGCCAAGCACUAGAUUAUUCUUAUCACUCUUUUGCAGUAAAGCAGGAGAGAGAAGGCAAGCACAUAUAUGGGAAUUUCUGCCAGAGCAGCAGA